GACGAACGCUGGCGGCGUGCUUAACACAUGCAAGUCGAACGAAGUGGAGAACGGGUGAGUAAUACGUGGGUAACCUGCCCUCCUGUUUGGGAUAAGCCAUGGAAACGGGGUCUAAUACCGCAUAAAGGGGGAUGGGGGCGCGGCCUAUCAGCGUGUUGGUGGGGUGAUGGACUACCAAGGCGGUGACGGGUAGCCAGGCUGAGAGGGUGCACGGCCACAUUGUGACGGCGGUACGGCCCAGACUACGACGGGAGGCGGCAGUUGGGGCGAUUGGACAAUGGGCGAACGCCUGAUGCAGCGAGGCCGCGGGGGGGAUGAAGGCUUUCGGGUUGUAAUCCUCUUUCGCAAUCGAACGGGUAUGUGGAGAAUAAGCGCCGGCUAACUACGUGCCAGCAGCCGCGGUAAUAC
rnacentral:rRNA from 1 species